CACCUUGACUUCCCCGAUGGCCGCAGUCAGUUCUGCCAUUAGGAAGAUUAGCCAGCUGCCACAGCAAUAUUAGCCAGUCAUAUCAUUUGCAAUAUGAUCCAUUGUUGCCAUAGCAACAUUAGCCAGUGCUAACGACACACUGCCCUAUCAGCGAGCCUACGUUGGUGACCUCAUGACCCCGUUAUACAACCCAGGUGACUGUCCCACACCCAGGUCUCAUGUUGCUGUCAAUCACAGUUUAAUCACAGUCUGAUGUAGACACAAGCCACAGUUAUUCUGCUACUCAGGAACUCAGGCAUGUGUACACUCCGCCAUCUUGUCAAGAGGAAUGGCGUUAGAAUGUUCGACAUGUUAGACUGUGGAAAGGAGGCAGCUGCGAGGGUUUGAGAGCAGCGUGACCCGAGUGUCUACCCAGCUUCCUGGCGUCAUGACCUCUGCAGGUCCCUCCCCGUGCAGCUCGUGAUGAGGGCGCCAUCGCCGGUCUCCUCACGUUUAUCACAGUUGUGCCAGCACCAGGCACUCAAAUGUCAGGGCACAGAAGCGAUGGUCUUCAAAUGUCAUGACAACUAGAGUUGGACCUUCACAUGUGAUUGGCAUUGUUUGUGUCAGGAACCUCCGGCCUAUGAUUUGUACUCUUCCUGUCGUUCAUUCCGACGGUACACGCGCGCGUACACGCACACAAAAGAUGCUGACACUAUGAUCUUUGAAUACUUGAAAUAUCUGGGAAAUUGAUCUCUUCUUUUGUAAGGCUUCUGAAAGAAUAUGUUUUGUUGUUACAAAUAAAAACAAAGCCUCGUGUAUCAGCCCUGGGCACAAUGGCAGGCAGGUGCCACUUGCAGGCGGAGAAGAAACACAGAUUCUCUGACCUGACUACAAAGAGACAGAGAGAGAGAGAGCUGAAAGUUUUUAUUGUUGGUUUACAGGGGACAAAGCAAGGCACUGGCACAACUGCCAGCCAAAAACAUUCAAAAUAGAAACAACCAAUCAAAUCAGUCAACGUUUUUUUGUUUCUUUAUAAGAAAUCAAACAGCAUCCUGGCUGUGGGCAUCUGUGUUGUUUUGUGUCAUUUCUAGGCAGCUUAUUUUUAAAACUUAUUUUGAGUUACAGAAAUACUGUAAAGAACACUGAGAAUAAUGUAGCAACACUAUCCAGGAGGAGCUAGACAUUUGCAUUACCAGGACAGUUACCUCCAAAAGAAAAAAAGAGUAAUUGAAAUAACAGUUGGUCACAGUGUUUAUACUCAACAAAGAAAUAACUUGCAAGCUGUACUAAAUAUCAGAAGAUACAACACACACACACACACACACACACCAUCUGGGAGGUAAACAGAUGCUAGGUCAGCAUAAGUAAUUAGUAUUUUAGAAUUGAGAUGCAAGGGGUUUGAAAGCACCCUCUGUAUGAAGACAAAAGCUCAAAUCAUUCCGUGCACAUGUAAGUAUAUUAACAUAUGUAAGGACCUUUCAACACAACACACGAUCUGUCAGUAUUUUUGGAAACUAUUCUUACAACAAUAAACGAAUGAACAGUUAAAAUCGUUUACCAUCCCACCCCAGGGCAGGCCCCUAGGGAUGCUGAUCACAUUCAGGAAAAUAUUUCCCUACAAAUCGAACAGUUGCUUUUAAUUAAAAGUUUAUUUACAUUUGCUGAAGUAAUGAGCAAGGCUCUAGGCUAUAACAUUUAUGCAAAAAUCAAAACAAAUAUUUCUUAAUGGCUUAACAUGAAAAUUCGGGAUUCGACUUUCAGUAGAAUUGUCCAGCAAUGUUAACAGCACGAUACUAUUUCAUGAGAAUUAUUUGUAAACUGUUUUUGAUGAAAUUUAUAUUGUGUAUAAUGUCAGUUUAUAUGAUAACUUAACUUCUUAUGCAUUCACGAAGACCUUUCCACUUUUGUUCAUGGGGCAAAGAUUUUUAAAUGUCACACCCGGUUGUUAAAUAUAAACUAAAUGAUAGUUUAUAUGAAUAUUUUAUUGUCGAAACCGUUGAACAGUUCACUAGCCGCUUAUAUCACGAAUUUCGCUUCGUUUUCGCCCACCUUUGUCAUGAACCAACAAUUAAAUAUAUCUUCACUCCGCUCUUCCCUUCUUCUGUAACAGAACCGAGGACUUGAGUGCUCUGGUGUAAUGUGAGUCGACUGUUUACAGCUUGAGUGGGGGACACAUGGGUGGUGUCUCUUAAAAUAAAAUAUGGAAUUGUGGCUCUUAUUGCUCCAUGCCACCUUCACUAGAUGAACAUUUUCUUUUCAACCGAGCCCUGUCACCCACCUAUAAACUCUGUACUCGCCUCACACUGAAUGAAUAAAAUGUCUCUUCUUAACUUUUUUAAAAUUAGACAGCAGAAUUACAUUAUUCUUUUGUUAUUCACAUACGAUUUUUUUAACCGGUUUGCACUCUUUGUACUUUGUAUUCUUCACAAUACAGUUGUUGCUAUAAAUAUUAUUGUUAAUUCAAACAUU
rnacentral:lncRNA from 1 species